UACGUAGGGGGCAAGCGUUAUCCGGAUUUACUGGGUGUAAAGGGAGCGUAGACGGCAGAGCAAGUCUGAAGUGAAAGCCCGCGGCCCAACUGCGGGACUGCUUUGGAAACUGCCCGGCUAGAGUGCUGGAGAGGUAAGCGGAAUUCCUAGUGUAGCGGUGAAAUGCGUAGAUAUUAGGAGGAACACCAGUGGCGAAGGCGGCUUACUGGACAGUAACCGACGUUGAGGCUCGAAAGCGUGGGGAGCAAACAGG
rnacentral:rRNA from 1 species